UGCGUAGGCGGCUUUUUAAGUUUGGUGUGAAAUCUCCCGGCUCAACUGGGAGGGUGCGCCGAAUACUGAGAGGCUAGAGUGUGGGAGAGGAAAGUGGAAUUCCUGGUGUAGCGGUGAAAUGCGUAGAUAUCAGGAGGAACACCGGUGGUGUAAACGGCUUUCUGGACCAUAACUGACGCUGAUGCACGAAAGCGUGGGUAGCAAACAGGAUUAGAUACCCUGGUAGUCCACGCCCUAAACGAUGCAUAUUUGGUGUGGGCCAUUCAUUUGGUCUGUGCCGGAGCUAACGCGUUAAAUAUGCCGCCUGGGGAGUACAGUCGCAAGGCUGAA
rnacentral:rRNA from 1 species